rnacentral:lncRNA from 1 species
GAACAUAAGAUUUUUGGUGCACUUCAUAAGUAUAUGCUAUAUAUUGAUGUAUCAAGUAGCGCUGAUUAUGGCAUUUCCUUCUGUGCUUGCGGGUGUGUAGAGAUGUCUUGAAGAAUGAACUUCGAUAUUUUAUCUGGCGGACACUUACACCAAUUCUCGACGCAUGUGCAUGGGCCGCAUAGAGCAGAUGUUUGGCACGGAUAACGAGUAACUGGACCUCUUGCUUCGGCUCCAAAUUGCACACCUACCACAAUUAAUAUUUCCAUAAUUCAUAAUAAAACUGUUUUUUGCCUUUAUUUUGAACAUACUGCUUUAUGCAUAAGUUUACGUUACAAAAAUAUACACUUAAACUCGACUUUAUGGCUGAAAAUAUCGACAAUUGUUAGGUUAAAGUAUAUAAUUUUAACGAUGUAUCAAAGACAUAUACACAUUUUCAAAAUAAGUGAGGUCAACCAGGUUGGAGCAAAAAAUUCCAAUAUGCAGUUGUAUUGUUCAAAGAAGUCAGCCCCAGAGGUUAGCCUAGGUUGUUAGGAUUAACGUUCGGAUUAUAGUAUGUCAAGAAUAAAUUUCUCUUUCAUUGUCACAAAAAUAAAAAUUGAGAGAAGUAUUUUACCAUUAUAUGAAACAAGAAGGAGCACAAUGAGGAAAGCUAACUUGAAUGAACCUUUCUCCAUAUCUAUUCAAUUUGUUGAAGGCAAGGAAGGAUUAUGGGUUUGUACGUGGUAUAAAACUUGAAUUCGGAGUCACUAGUUUUUAAAAAGACUACAAUAUAUAUAGGUGAAUUUGAAAACUAUUUUCUAUGAUUGCACAUCUCGGUGAGGUUGGAUUCAACGAAUUGUUCAUGCAUGAAUUUUGUAAACAAAUCAAUUUAUCGAACUAUAAUGGUAAAUAAGUUAUGAUAAUAAGAUUGCGAUUUGAUGCCUAGUAUUAUUAGGUGCAUAUUCAAGCUAUAUAGCUUAAUUUCUAACCUAUUCGUGCUCUCCAAACCUAACAUUAUAUGUAACUUAUUUUUUGUAAAUGCAUGUUUAGAAAUGAUAAGUUAAAUAAAUUGUGUAUGCAUGAAAGGAAAUAUUAUUUUAAGAGAUGAUUUUGUUCGACUAGAAUGGUAACUAAAUUUGCAUAUUAGGUUUCAAGCCAAUACAAGUACGACCUUAAUUCAAAGUAUAUAUAUUUUAUUAUUGGCGAUAUUUGCUGUACAAAAGUAUGACUUUAAGCAAUGCCAUGAUGAGCGCAUUGGAUUCAAAGAAUUGUUCAUGUAUGGAUUUUCUAUGAUAAAAAAUCAAUGUAUCGAACUAUAAUGGUAAAUAAAUUGGCAUAAUAAGAUUUCGAUUUUAUUCCUUAUAUAAUUAGUGGCUUUAAAUUAUUGAAACAAUAUAACUUCAAUUUCUAAGUUACCAGUGCUUUCCAAAUUGUCGAAUAUAUGUAGCUUAAUUUUCACAUGCACAUGUGUACAUAACUAUAAAUCCUAUAAAUUGCGUAUUCGUGAAAGGAUUUUUUUUUUUUUUUUCAGAGAUUAAUUUGUUGAACAAAACGGUAACUAAAUUGACAUAUUUUGUUUCAUGCCAUAAAUAACUUGGCAACCUAAACGAGUAAAACUUGCAAUUAAAGUAUAUAUGACUCCACGGACGGCGUUGUUUGUUGGUACGUAAGUAUGAACUUUAGUAAAUCUGUGAUGGAACCACGGUAGAUUGGAAUUUCGAUUUCUCAAUAUUAUCUUACUGAAACUAAGGCCAGAAUCAAAUCCCAAUAUAUUAUCGAAUUAAUGGACCUUGAUGGUACAUUUUUUAAAAUACAAAAACGCUACGUUGCCGAAUUCGUUUACCAAUUAUUUGUAUGCGAAAGAGAUACUAGUUUUUUUAAAACAGAGUUAUGUGGUGAUAAAAUAAAAUAAAAAUGACAACCAAAGAGAUAUUGUUUCUAAAAACUUUAAUUCUUUCCUAUUAUUCGGUGGAUCAAACACGAAAUUAGUAAGAAAUAAUCAUAUUUAGCACACACUAAAGAAAUUAGUAAUAGUUACUUGUUUUAGGAUUCAGAACUACGUGCUUGAGACUAAAAUAUAUAAUUAUUUUAUAUUAGUUAACUUCGUUGUAAUCCUUAUCUAUACAACUUUAUAUGUUUUUCAAGUGAUUAAAAGAGGUCAUUCAGAACCAUCACUUAUAUUUGCCUUAUUUACUACAACAGUUUGAGAAUAGAAGACUAUUUCUUAUAAACUUUUGAAUUUCAUGUUGUCGCCUAAUUAGCGAAAAUUGUUAGGUGUUACACUAUUUCAAUUGCCUUUUUUUUCGUUGUGUUCGGUAAUUUAGAAUCACUUCACUGUUUUCUUGUGUACCACACCUUUAUCAUCACAACAUUAUGAAAUAUAAAAAUAUUCAAACCAAGUAAACUAUAAGUAAGAAGGUGAUGUUAUUUAUUAUCCAUUCAAACAUUUAACGAACAUAUUGGGAGAACAUAAGAUUUUUGGGGCUCGUCAUAAGUAUAUGCUAUAUAUUGAUGUAUCAAGUAGCGCUGAUUAUGGCAUUUCCUUAUGUGCUUGCGGGUGUGUAGAGAUGUCUUGAAGAAUGAACUUCGAUAUUUUAUCUGGCGGACACUUACACCAAUUCUCGACGCAUGUGCAUGGGCCGCAUAGAGCAGAUGUUUGGCACGGAUAACGAGUAACUGGACCUCUUGCUUCGGCUCCAAAUUGCACACCUACC